CCCCUGUUGAAAGCAACCCCUUCUGCAUCCUAUUAAAACCUGUCAGCACCGUGCAGCCCUCCCUGCCAGGGCACUGGGAUGAGGGCAAAGUGAAGCUGGGACCGUGGAGAGCACUGGGGAGUAAAGGCACAGCACUCAGUACUGAUGCAAUGAAAUCUCCAGGAAGGCAUAACCACCAUGUGAAAAGCAGAACAAGCCAAGACCUUGGCUUAGAAAGCUUUCUGCAGGAAUUCUCCCAUUGUAACGAGCCUUUGACCUAACCUCCAUUUCUUCUAAUACUGCCUGACAUCUUCCCAUCAUAUGUUAACAGUGUGUGUCUUCAGUGAAAGGCAAACUGACUCUGAUGCUCUGGGCCUAAAGAAAAGCAACAUGGAGAAAGAAAGAAAGAGAAAUCUCGACCUCGCUGGUCCUUCCCAGCAAUCUGUUGCUCCAGCAACUGAAAAAUCAAACAAUGAUGUCAAGAAGAUGCAGCCAGCCACGCUAAACCCGAUGUCCAGUUGCUGGAGCAACUUGUUGUUAAAGCAAUUAGCCCAUGCUCAUUACUGGACGUAUGGGGAUACAUCCAAGCGCUCACCGAGACGGGAGGCACAGCACACAACGUGGCACAAACGGGUUCUCCCAGGUCUUGGGCUCCAUUGUAAAACGUAGCAUCAAACCUUCACUACAUCGGGCCAUCAGCAGAUGCCAGGCAGAACACACCUCCUCCCUGGGAAGGGGGAACCUCAGAAAAUCUGGCAAGAAAAGCAUCCAAGCAGCGAGCAAAGAGCCAACGGUGGCAAACAGGCUGUGAAAGCACUACC
ensembl:lncRNA